UAAGGUACCUUAUUGACUUCGGUC
rnacentral:piRNA from 1 species